GUGCUCUCUUUGGAAGCACACAUAGUAAAAUUAGAACAAUGCAGACAAGAUUAGUAUGGCCCUAUACAAGGAUGAGACAUAAAUUCGUGAAGCAUUCCAUAGUUUA
rnacentral:snRNA from 1 species